GCAUAUCAAUAAGCGGAGGAAAAGAAACCAACAGGGAUUGCCCCAGUAACGGCGAGUGAAGCGGCAACAGCUCAAAUUUGAAAUCUGGCUCUCGGGCCCGAGUUGUAAUUUGUAGAGGAUGCUUUUGGUGAGGUGCCUUCCGAGUUCCCUGGAACGGGACGCCAUAGAGGGUGAGAGCCCCGUCUGGUUGGACGCCGAACCUCUGUAAAGCUCCUUCGACGAGUCGAGUAGUUUGGGAAUGCUGCUCUAAAUGGGAGGUAUAUGUCUUCUAAAGCUAAAUACCGGCCAGAGACCGAUAGCGCACAAGUAGAGUGAUCGAAAGAUGAAAAGAACUUUGAAAAGAGAGUUAAACAGUACGUGAAAUUGUUGAAAGGGAAGCGCUUGUGACCAGACUUGGGCUUGGUUGAUCAUCCGGGGUUCUCCCCGGUGCACUCUUCCGGCCCAGGCCAGCAUCAGUUCGCCCUGGGGGACAAAGGCAUCGGGAACGUGGCUCUCUCCGGGGAGUGUUAUAGCCCGUUGCGUAAUACCCUGUGGCGGACUGAGGUUCGCGCAUUCGCAAGGAUGCUGGCGUAAUGGUCAUCAGUGACCCGUCUUGAAACACGGACCAAGGAGUCGUCUUCGUAUGCGAGUGUUCGGGUGUCAAACCCCUACGCGAAAUGAAAGUGAACGCAGGUGAGAGCUUCGGCGCAUCAUCGACCGAUCCUGAUGUUUUCGGAUGGAUUUGAGUAAGAGCAUACGGGGCCGGACCCGAAAGAAGGUGAACUAUGCCUGUGUAGGGUGAAGCCAGAGGAAACUCUGGUGGAGGCUCGCAGCGGUUCUGACGUGCAAAUCGAUCGUCAAACAUGGGCAUGGGGGGCGAAAGACUAAUCGAACCUUCUAGUAGCUGGUUUCCGCC
rnacentral:rRNA from 1 species